AUAAAGAUAAGCUAAUAAAGCUUAUGGGUUCAUACCCCGUUUAUAGAAGUAAAACCUUCUUCUUUUUA
rnacentral:tRNA from 1 species